rnacentral:rRNA from 1 species
UAAGGAAUAUUGGUCAAUGGACGAAAGUCUGAACCAGCCAUGCCGCGUGGAGGAUGAAGGUCCUCUGGAUUGUAAACUUCUUUUAUAUGGGACGAAAAAAGGCCUUUCCAGGUCGUCUGACGGUACCAUAUGAAUAAGCACCGGCUAACUCCGUGCCAGCAGCCGCGGUAAUACGGAGGGUGCAAGCGUUAUCCGGAUUCACUGGGUUUAAAGGGUGCGUAGGUGGGUUGAUAAGUCAGUGGUGAAAUCCCCGAGCUUAACUUGGGAACUGCCAUUGAUACUAUUGAUCUUGAAUACCGUGGAGGUCAGCGGAAUAUGUCAUGUAGCGGUGAAAUGCUUAGAUAUGACAUAGAACACCAAUUGCGAAGGCAGCUGGCUACGCGAAUAUUGACACUGAUGCACGAAAGCGUGGGGAUCAAACAGGAUUAGAUACCCUGGUAGUCCACGCCCUAAACUAUGGAUACUCGACAUCAGCGAU